AAAAUUGGCGGUAUUUAAAUCUAAUUAGGGGAAUUUGUCUUUUUAAUGAUAAUCCGCAAGGAAUCUUACUUGAAUUAAAAAUUUAUUUAUUGUCGUUAUCAGAUUAUUUUAAAAGAAUAUAAAUUAUCUUAAUUAUUUUAAUAUUAAAAUAUUUAUUUCAGAUCAUUAUGUAGUUUAUAUUUAAGUUAAGGUGAAUUACAAUAAAAUUUAUUUAUAACGAAAAUUAUAUUGAAAUAUAUAAUAGAAGGUGGACUUAAUAGUAAAAUUAAAUUAUUAUAUUAAUU
rnacentral:rRNA from 1 species